UAAGCUACUUAUUGGAUUGGAGUGAAACUUGAGUGAAAAGAUAUUAGAAUUAUUUUUCUAUGUGUAUGAGAAUUUUGAAAUCAAUCAAACGGUGCAAAAGAGAGAUAUUGGCUCUAGAAGAUUAGCAUCAAGAUUGGAGAAGGAGGCCGGCCAAUACCCAAGUACAUAUUUGAGAUUAUCUUCAAUUUGAUAACUCCGAUCCUUUUCAAUUUUUUUGUGCUUAUUUUUAACUUAUUUUUUUAGAAGUGUGCAAAAUUUGAGUUAAGAUCAACGGUUUAUUUAUUAGUUAUUGAGGUUUAAAUCUAUUAUAGGAAUUACUAGGAUUUGGUUUAGGAUUUAGGAUUUGGAUUAGGGUUUGAAUUAGGGUUUUAUUUAGGGUUUAGGAUUUUUUUAGGAUUUGAUUAGAAUUUGAUUAGGGUUUUAUUUAGGAUUUAGGGUUUUAUUUAGGAUUUAGGAUUUGAUUAGGAUUUUGUUAGGAUUUGGUUAGGAUUUGAUUUAAUAUUUAGGGUUUAGUUAGGAUUUGGUUUAGGGUUUAGGGUUUGGAUUAGGUUUUUUUUUAGGGUUUAGGAUUUGGAUUAGGAUUUGGUUAGGGUUUGAUUUAGGAUUUGGUUAGGAUUUGGUUUAGGAUUUGGUUGGGGUUUGGUUUAAGGUUUGUUUAGGGUUUGAUUUAGGGUUUAGGAUUUUAUUAGGAUUUAAGAUUCAGUUAGUUUUGGCCUAAAUUUUGAAUGAAGUUCAAUAGGAUUUUAACUAGAAUUAAAUUAAGAUUGAAUUGAGAUGUAUUUGAGUGAUAUUUGUGAUCCUUCUAAUAUUUCUUUAGGAACUCUUAUUAUUUGUUUGAAAUUUCUUUGAGGUUUUUUUGAAUUUGAUUAAGCUUGCUUACCAUUAUUAUGGUCUAAUUAGAGCACUGUUAAUAUUCUAUUAGAAUUAAGAUUUUGUUAUUGUAAUUUCUAUUCUUCCUUCCACGGCGAAGUGCCCGGAGCAUUCUCAAGCAAGACCUCACGUAUUACGACAAUGCUCUCUAUAAUAUUUACUACAGUUUAUAAUAAAUAUUAUAGCUAUAAUAUUUAGAAUGUAGUUGAGAGA
rnacentral:lncRNA from 1 species